GAUGAACGCUGGCGGCGUGCCUAAUACAUGCAAGUCGAGCGAAUGGAUUAAGAGCUUGCUCUUAUGAAGUUAGCGGCGGACGGGUGAGUAACACGUGGGUAACCUGCCCACAAGACUGGGAUAACUCCGGGAAACCGGGGCUAAUACCGGAUAACAUUUUGAACCGCAUGGUUCGAAAUUGAAAGGCGGCUUCGGCUGUCACUUAUGGAUGGACCCGCGUCGCAUUAGCUAGUUGGGGAGGUAACGGCUCACCAAGGCAACGAUGCGUAGCCGACCUUAGAGGGUGAUCGGCCACAAUGGGCCUGAGACACGGCCCAGACUCCUACGGGAGGCAGCAGUAGGGAAUCUUCCGCAAUGGACGAAAGUCUGACGGAGCAACGCCGCGUGAGUGAUGAAGGCUUUCGGGUCGUAAAACUCUGUUGUUAGGGAAGAACAAGUGCUAGUUGAAUAAGCUGGCACCUUGACGGUACCUAACCAGAAAGCCACGGCUAACUACGUGCCAGCAGCCGCAGUAA
rnacentral:rRNA from 1 species